AGUCCGCCAGCCCACAGUAAAGAUGGCGCCGCCAGGACCGGAACGACCACACUAAAGAUGGCGGCGAGAGCGCCCCCCCCCCCCCCCCCCCCCCCCCCCCCCCCUCGCUUCAGAGAGGCGUUUAUCCUGUUGCCUGACCUCCGCCGCCACCCGGACCCCCGCCCCGCGCCCGCAGCGCCGUCUCCCCGCGCCGCUUCCCGCUGUGGGGACAGGGCGGGGCGCUCCGCGGCGCCGGGCGCAGGCGGCAGGUUCGUGGGCGGCGGCAGGCACCGGCGCGCGCAGCCCCCGUCUCGGCACCGCCCCCCGCCCCGCUCCCGCUCCCGCUCCCGCUCCCGCUCCCGCCCCCGCCCCGCUCGGUCCCGCCGUGGCCUGGAGAUGCUGUCGGGGUUGCGCCGCCGCCUUCCCCCCCUGGAAGCGACCCACGGCGGCAGAUGCGACGGAGAUCGUCCCCGGGGUGACGAAGCUUAUGGAAAAAAAGACCAAAGGCCUCGAGGGAUGUUCUUCUUGAUCCCCCGGGGCAAACGGAGGUGUCAGCGUCAGGAGCCAUCCUAACUGAGGCCCUGGCUCCCUCUUUCCCUUCGGUCGCCGUGGGUGUGCCGGCCGCCUCUGGCAGGACUAACCCUGUGGCUUUUAUGUCCAACGUGCUGUGCUCUGCUGUGCUGUGUGUGUGCCUGCAGAAUUGCCACGAGAGGAAAUACUUCAGAGGGGCUUCCCUCCAGAUAAGCCCUGAAUGUGCCAGGAGGUUUCAGCCGGGAGAAAGGAGCUGUGGAAGAAAAGCAGCCUAAAAAUAGCCAGUGGGGAUCAUCAGGUUUUCCAGGCAAGAAGAACAAGGAGAGAGAUGAGGGAAUCGGGUUCCAAUUCCUAAUGAUUUGGUGGGUGCAGGAAUGAUUUGUGUGUGUUUUCCAGUCCCUUUUGAUUCCUGAGAUGAUUUUAAAAUGAUGGCUUUAGCAAUCAACUAAAUCGGAGGUGUUGUUUUUGAGAGGAAAUGAUGCCAAAUAAAUGCAGAGUUUUGGGUCA